rnacentral:rRNA from 1 species
CAGUCGCCACGGUAAUACGUAGGUGGCAAGCGUUGUCCGGAAUUAUUGGGCGUAAAGGGCUCGCAGGCGGUUUCUUAAGUCUGAUGUGAAAGCCCCCGGCUCAACCGGGGAGGGUCAUUGGAAACUGGGAAACUUGAGUGCAGAAGAGGAGAGUGGAAUUCCACGUGUAGCGGUGAAAUGCGUAGAUAUAUGGAGGAACACCGGUGGCGAAAGCGGCUCUCUGGUCUGUAACUGACGCUGAGGCUCGAAAGCGUGGGGAGCGAACAGGAUUAGAUACCCCCGUAGUCCCUGUCUCUUAUAA